rnacentral:rRNA from 1 species
GACGAACGCUGGCGGCGUGCUUAACACAUGCAAGUCGAACGGAAAGGCCCUGCUUUUGUGGGGUGCUCGAGUGGCGAACGGGUGAGUAACACGUGAGUAACCUGCCCUUGACUUUGGGAUAACUUCAGGAAACUGGGGCUAAUACCGGAUAGGAGCUCCUGCUGCAUGGUGGGGGUUGGAAAGUUUCGGCGGUUGGGGAUGGACUCGCGGCUUAUCAGCUUGUUGGUGGGGUAGUGGCUUACCAAGGCUUUGACGGGUAGCCGGCCUGAGAGGGUGACCGGCCACGUUGGGACUGAGAUACGGCCCAGACGCCUACGGGAGGCAGCAGUGGGGAAUAUUGCACAAUGGGCGGAAGCCUGAUGCAGCAACGCCGCGUGCGGGAUGACGGCCUUCGGGUUGUAAACCGCUUUCGCCUGUGACGAAGCGUGAGUGACGGUAAUGGGGAAAGAAGCACCGGCUAACUACGU